UAUGCCUCACCAUCGGAUCUUCCUGCUUCACCACUAGCUGUCGGCAGAGAGAAAACAAGAAGGUAUCGGAAUCAGUGUAGCUCCGGCCAAGAAUUUGCGACAGUAGGUAUUUUCAGCUAGCAAUUUCCAGCAGCAACCUCCCUGCUGUGAGGAUUGAGCAAUUUAUCUUUGCUGGCUGUAAACAAUCCUAAUUGGGUAACAACUUUGUGACUUCCAGCAGCGGUU